rnacentral:SRP_RNA from 1 species
CCCAGGUCCCGGAGGGCGUCAGCCCGCCAACUCCGCCAGGGCCGAAAGGCAGCAACGGUCCGUGGUGUCCGCCGUCGCUCCGUCAGGCCUGGGGCA